rnacentral:ncRNA from 2 species
CUCGUUGAGUUUAAGCAUAUCAAUAAGCGGAGGAAAAGAAACUAACAAGGAUUCCCCUAGUAACAGCGAGCGAACCGAGAAAAGCCCAUAAUGAGAAUCGGUCGCCCUCGGUGUCCGAAUUGUAGUCUAGAGAGGCAUCCUCAGCGACAGACUGGGCCCAGGUCCCCUGGAAGGGGGCGCCAGAGAGAGUGACAGCCCCGUCGUGCCCGGACCCUGUUGCACCAUGAGGCACUGUCGGCGAGUCGGGUUGUUUGGGAAUGCAGCCCCAAUCGGGCGGUAAAUUCCGUCCAAGGCUAAAUACUAGCGAGAGACCGAUAGCGAACAUGUACCACGAGGGAAAGAUGAAAAGGACUUUGAAAAGAGAGUCAAAGAGUGCUUGAAAUUGUCGGGAGGGAAGCAAAUGGGGGCCGACGAUGUGCCUCGAUCGGAUGUGGAAUAGCGAGAGCUGGUCCGCCAAUCGACAUGAGGGUUGCGGAGCAGCAACUCGUGUGGGCGAUUAGUCGAAUUGGUGCAACGAAAAUCCGCGAUGGACUCAUAGUCCCUUAUUCGAGUGGUAGGUGAAUUAGACUCGUGCCAUACACAUUGUCUGAGUGGUAGGUGAAAGUGACGACACAUGUUCCGAGUGGUUGGUGAAAGUGACUCGUGCCUCACUUGAGAUUCUUGCUCCAGUC